rnacentral:rRNA from 1 species
UACGUAGGGGGCAAGCGUUGUCCGGAAUCAUUGGGCGUAAAGAGCGUGUAGGCGGCCAGAUAAGUCCGCUGUGAAAACUCGAGGCUUAACCUCGAGCUGUCGGCGGAAACCAUCUGGCUAGAGUCCGGAAGAGGAGAAUGGAAUUCCCGGUGUAGCGGUGAAAUGCGCAGAUAUCGGGAAGAACACCCGUGGCGAAGGCGGUUCUCUGGGACGGUACUGACGCUGAGACGCGAAAGCGUGGGGAGCGAACAGG